CUGGCGUCCGGCGAUGGCACACCACAGCGGCGCGGCGCGGCGCGGCGGGCGAGCCAUGGCCAUGAAUCGAUCGGGUGUCCAGAUCCGGUGGAGGGAGGUCCGGCCAGGCAGAGCCGCAGCCAGCCUGCGUUGCGGCUGCUUGUUCGAAGUGAUCGAUCAGCCGGAGGAUGCCGCGGAGGUAUCAGAUUCCGAUCCCCGGCCCCAGCCGCCCCCGUGCUCGUGCAAGCCUGUCCUUCCCUCUCUGUUGAUCAUGCUACGGCCUUCUACGUGCUAGUAUAUUCUCAGACUUAA
rnacentral:misc_RNA from 1 species